GGGACCCGACCCCGGGUCAGCGUGGGAGCUUAGGACCGCAGCGGCCGGACGCCUGUCGCCCGCGUCCACCCCACUCCUGAGCGGUGGCGUUGACAGCCGACCUCCCGCCCGACGUCCUGACAGCCCCGGUAGCCGAGAGGUCGAAGGGAUCGGGUUAAAGCCGGACGUCCACCGCGGGCUCCUCCCUCUGCCCGGGACCCGCGUGAGGUGCCGAGCGUUGGCAGCUUUCCCGCCACGCCGCUUAACUCGCUUCUCCCGCCGCCCUCGGGAACGCUCCCUGGCGGAAGGGACGGGAACUGCAGGGCCUGGGUUCCUAAGCCCCUGGGAGUGCGUGGGGAUCGGGAUCCGCUGCCCCGGAUGGAUCGGGGAAGCCUUUGGACAGUUCCCUGCAGAAGUGCGUGACGCCUGCUUUGGGGCUUCGUCCUAUAUCUAUAUCUAUACCUCCAGGCCACUUACCUAGGCUGAAUCUGACGGCAGGCGGGAAAGGGGAAGUGUGCACUCUGCUAUAUAGCCAACCUUGAACUUCUGAUCCCCCAGCCUCCAACUUGUGAGUGCCAGGGUUAGCAGGCACUCACUCAACUGAGCUACAAGCCCUAACUUCUGGGAUUUAGGUUAAAAUGCAAGGUUUGACAUGCUAGACCUCAGUUUACUCCGAGUUGAUCUAUAUAUUUAAUGAACAUUUAGAGGCGUCUCAGGAAGAGUUGCAGAUAUAAACCAAAAUGGAUAGGGUUUUAACUGUGUAGCUCAGGCUAGCCUAGAACUCCUGCCUUGACUUCCCCAGCGCUAAUGUUUCAGGUGUGCACGACUGCACCAUCUUAAUAAGCUUAUCCUUAAACUUAUGGCAAAUAAAUAGACUGAAUAAAAUGGUUUUGUAACGUU
rnacentral:lncRNA from 1 species